GACGAACGCUGGCGGCGUGCUUAACACAUGCAAGUCGAACGGAAAGGCCCUGCUUGCAGGGUACUCGAGUGGCGAACGGGUGAGUAACACGUGGGUGAUCUGCCCUGCACUUCGGGAUAAGCCUGGGAAACUGGGUCUAAUACCGGAUAGGAGCCAUUUUUAGUGUGAUGGUUGGAAAGUUUUUUCGGUGUAGGAUGAGCUCGCGGCCUAUCAGCUUGUUGGUGGGGUAAUGGCCUACCAAGGCGGCGACGGGUAGCCGGCCGGGGAGGGUGGACGGCCACAUUGGGACUGGGAUACGGCCCAGACUCCUACGGGAGGCAGCAGUGGGGAAUAUUGCACAAUGGGCGCAAGCCUGAUGCAGCGACGCCGCGUGGGGGAUGACGGCCUUCGGGUUGUAAACUCCUUUCGCUAGGGACGAAGCUUUUUGUGACGGUACCUAGAUAAGAAGCACCGGCUAACUACGUG
rnacentral:rRNA from 1 species